AAAAAUCUGGGUCGCUCCUCCACUCUUCCCGUAGAAAACUUGUUCGAGCCCUAUCUGUUCGAAGCAGCAGGGUAGGAUAGGGCGGAGCCGCCGGUGACCCCGGCGGUGGCGUUGGCAGCGGCAGAGGGGGUCGGCGAGGAUGGCCGCUGUGGCGUGGAGGAGGAGCCGAUGACCCCGGCGGUGGCGGCGGCAAAGGGGGUCGGCGAUGAUGGCCGAUGGGGCGAGGAGGCGGAGCCGAUGACCCGUGGCGGCGGCGGAGGGGUCCCAUGGGCUCGAGGACCGACGUCUGAUGCAGCCGUGGUUCCUCGCCGUCAAGAGCUAGAUCGAGCGCACAGCGGUGUAGCCGUCCAAAGGAAGAGGAAAAGCACCAUGCGCCGGUUGGGCCGUGGCGUCACGAAGGAGGUGGAGACAAAAGGCACUGGUGGCCCCGUGAAGAUCGAGGAGGUCGCCGCCUCGUCAUGCAGCGCGCGAUGGUGGACCGAUGGGCGUCCAAGAGGCACUUGACCUUGCCGGAUCACGCUGCUGCUGGCGUAAUCCAGGCCGGAUCUGUGGAGAGCCCGGCGCAGCACUGUCUACAGAUUGAUAAGGGCCGGUGCUUCAAUGACGAAUCUACUAUUCAGCACACAGCCCAACUUGACAGGCACUAGCCAUGUCAACAGGCACUCAGGGGCAUGCUCGCCUCGGCAGUCAUCAAGGUGGCAAUAGAACACUUGAAAUCUACCAUUUCAGGCGAGAUCAAGCUGCACAGGAAUAUGAGGAAUGAUUUGGAGAACAGGAAUAUAAGAAAUUGUUGAGACGGAGGGAAGAACAUACAACAUAUCCCUUUAUUCUGCACAUUAGUGUCCGAUGGAGCAGUUGUAGGACGUUGUUUUUUCUCUUCAAUGUUCUUUUCCAGGUGAAAUCCAUGGCUGCUUCCUAAAACUUAAAAUCUGUAAGCAGAUGUUUCAAUUGCCAAAAGAUGGUUGUUGUUCUGCGACUAGACUGACCAUCCAGCUUUAAAUUUUAGUGUAAUCUCAAGAUAUUGCAAUUGAACUCUUCUUAAGGUAAUUCUCUGUUUUAUCUGAACUCACUAAGAUUAUUUGCUUUUUCUUUUGUCUUUUGCGCAUUUAAAAUUCCAGAGAAAAUUUUGCCAAUCUCUUUAGUUUUCACACAAAGCUAAGGUGUUCUCCAUUUAUAAUGUAGAGACAAGCAUCUUGUCAAAGCUUAGGCUUACAAUGGAGACACCAUCAAUGGCAAUUCCAAAGUUCUGUGCCUGAUCUGUCAGUAUCUUUCUAAUCUCCCACCUCACGCGCUGAAAUUAAAGGGGAAAGGAGCAAACAAUGAGCACCCACAAGUAUUUGGCAAUGUUGGCUCUUGGGCUGCCCAAUUGAUCACUGAAGCUGGUGGCAAGGUGGUCUUCAUCAGAGAUGUCACAGGGGCUGUCAAGAACUCCAAUGGCAUUGACAUAGCCAAGCUGAUGAAGCACUCGACAGAGAACCGCGGGAUCAAGGGCUCCGACAAAAGGCGACGCCGUCGACCCGACCUCGCUGCUCACGGAAGAGUGCGACGUGCUCAUCCCGGCAGCUCUGGGAGGAGUCAUAAACAAGGACAAUGUUGAUGCCAUCAAAGCAAAGUACAUCAUCGAGGCUGCUAACCACCCAACAGACCCCGAGGCCGAAGAG